GUUGACUUUUCCAAUACAAGCUUCCUUCUAAGAGGCCAUGCGCCUAACUUCAACCAAAACCAAUUCAAUCACACCCGAUCAACUCCAAUACUGAUAUUGAAACAUGAAGCAAUACAAUAAGGGGGAAACGAUCAGUAACACAUAAGACGACGGGUCAGGUCGUCACACUCAAUGAGACAUAUGGUGCAGUAAGAAGCAUCAUUCUGAUGUUGUCUCCCCUUCCUAGUGUGAAUCAUGCCUACUCCCUUUUGAUUCGAGAUGAAAAACAAAGGGAGAUCCAUGUUGGAGUACAUCCUGCAGAAUUUGCUUUUAUGGCAUCAUAACAGCAGUUUCACAGUCAGAAAAAUGGAGAAGGAAAAUUCAAAGGAACUCUCAAUAUAAAGAAGUCGUUUGCAACUAUUGCAAAAAAUCAGGACAUACAAUUUAUUAGUGCUACAGAAUUGUUGGCUUUCCUCCAAAUUUUAAAUUCAUUAAGUCUAAAAAAUCUCAGGGAGUUGCUCAUACUAAUGCUGCAAUUGGAGAAGGAAGUGCAACUCAAAUAGUCCAUUGGGGAGAGGGAAAUUCAGCAGGAAAUAUAACACCAGAACAAUUUUCUCAGCUCUAUCAUUUGCUCCAACAGGUGAAAGUUGGACAACAAGGUGAGCAAAUGACUGAGUGUUGAUACACAAUUUUUUCCCAUGUAUUUAUAUACUCAAAAUACUCCCAAAAUAGCAUGUAUAUGUAUAUAUAAGCAUCCACAAAGGUCUUGGUAUUUUUCUACUUUUGAUUAGGUUUUUAAAAUCAAUUUACGGCUUAAUUUGCAAUAUAAAAUCCAAUAUUUAGUCCCAAAUCAUGUUAUUUUGACAAGUAAUCUAUUUCAUUCUCUCAUCUACGUAUAAUAUAAUUUAUAUAAUUUUUUACAGAAUUUUACAAAGCCAUUGGGUAUUUCUAAAUUAAAAUUGCAUUAUAUUGCAAUUGUAGCCCAUAUUUAAAUUUAAUAAGUAUUUGUAUUGCAAAAUUGUUCCUAAUACUUUUCAACUAAUACCUAGUUACAUUUUAUUAACUCAAUAUUUUUAUUGGAUUUUUAUAAGGUUGUUUCUAUUUUAUAAAAUUAAAUUGGGAGAAAUGACUAUUUAAAUGGUAACCUUUUAUGUUUCAAAUCUAACCCAAAUUAAACCCCCAAAUUGACCCCCCAAUUACCUGAUCCAAUAUCAAAAUUACCCGACCCAAACCCACAUAAAACUAACCUGCCCCAGUUCCCUUUAAUAGUGGCCGUUGAUCACUCAGAUCAACGGCCCACAUUUCACUUACCAAAAUUAAAUUCCAAAUAACCCCUAAACCCUAAUCAGUUUACCAAACCAGCCGCCUUUGAACCCUAAAUGCUCUCUAGCCACCUGAACCCUAAUCUUCUCCGGCUCUAUUUCACCGGCGUUCAUGGUCGUUCAAGCCCUAAGACGUCUUUAUCCGUUCACUCCUCAUCUCUCGUGGUUCCUGGGUUCGAAGAUCGGAACCCUACCUCAAAGUUGACUGGACGAGAGGUCCUCCGAUGUGAUUCCUUCAGCCGUGUCCGGCCUUUCUCCGACAAGCCUUUAGUCUCGUGGUCCUUUACCGACUCCGACGAGUCCAGUCCAGGCUUUUCUCGAUACUUCGAGUCCUUUCUCUGAAAACACUAAUUUCUUGAGGUUCUUCUCUUUGUUCACUUUUACGAUCCUCUCUGAGUCCUAGUAAUCUUCUAAAGAUUUUUAAAUAUUUCUCGCCUCUUCUUCGCCUAUUUUUGUUUUCAAACUGUUCGUCUUUUUAAACUUAGGGUUUCCAUGACUUCUCUGAUUUCUUUGAUUUCGUUGUUUUAUUUGCUACUGUGUGUUCUUCUAUAUGAUUUUUGAGCAUUUUCUACUAUGGCUCCGAGGCGUUUUGCUUCACUAAUUAUUUUCUAGGGUUUUCAGUUAAUGUGUUCUAUGCUUUCCUUUAUGCUGUUCUGAUUUUGUUCACCUUCAUCUAUGAUAUUCUUAUGCUCUAAUAUGCAUUGGAAACCGUUGCUUUAUGGGGGCUUUUCCAUUGUCUCUCUAUGAAACCCUAGCCGCCUCGAAUUGCUUUCGUGUGUGUUUUUCUACAUGUUUAUUCUACUACUUCCAGUUUAUGCAUGCUCGAAUCUAUGCAUCUUUUGUAUUACCAUUUCCCCUUUCUCUGAGCAACCCUAAAUUGGAAAAUUGAGUUUGUACAGUUGUUUGAUUCUCUAAUUGAACUUUGUUUUCUGACUAAGUUCGAAUAAGCUAGUAUCUCAAUUCCUUGAUUUUCUAGGUAAUUAGCCCGCCUUAUAUGUUUACCCGUGUGAUUUUCAAAACUUCUUACACAUAUUUGCUCUAUAUUAUGUGAUUAAUACUCGAUUUUCUUUCCAAAAUUAGGCUAAUAUUUAUUUACCUCCAGCCGUUCCUUAAUUAAAAGGAGCCUUCUCCUUAAUUGUUUAUGAUUGGUACUGAACCUGUAAACGGCUUUUAAAUGCUAAAUCUGUGGUUUCAAACGUUUUUCCUGCCUAAGUUUAAUAUUUCAAGGUCUUUAAAACUUUUCUCUCGUUCAAACGGUGUGGCUGACUUGUAAGCCUUUUCUAAACUUGUCUGUAACUUUAAAUCUCCUUUAACAGACUCUUGUCACUAACGUUUUCCUCCUGAUUUUCUAAAUCUUGUCAAUUCCUGAAACGGGCCCGGGGAGCUCGUAGUAGAUUUUCUAUCCAACUCUUAUGUAUUAAACUUAUCUGCCUGCUCUUUUAACCUCUUUUAAAGAUCAAAUCAGUAUUUUAUGUCAUGCUAAACUAGUUGCUGUUAUGUUACGGGGUUUAUUUGAGACUUUAAUUGUCCUAUUUGCAUACCACUUAUAUGCUAUGUGUUUUGACUGUCGUUCUAGUUUUUUUUCCUUUGAAACUAUUAUGUAUAUCCUAUCUCUCUCGCCCCCUUCUUAGGAUUAGAAGUCCUAAUACCCCAGGACUAACAGGGAAUACUCCAUAUAUAUAUCCUAUCUUUCUCUCCCCCUUUUGGGAUUAAAAGUCCUAAUACCCCAGGACUAACAGGUUGGGACGGGUAUUAGCAUGCAAUAAGUAAACGAUACCAACACUUUUAAAUACCUUAACGGGGUGGGAAGGGUAGAAUAUGGAGAUGAUGACCGGCAUGCUAAUACCAUAUGCGACCCCUCUUUGAGGAGUUUGUGUAGGGUUUUGUACCGAUGUGAUCCAUAUUAUAAUUAAACCUAGGACCCUUAUCUCUUUUGUUUGCUUUAUUUAAAUGUUCUCCUAUAGUCAUGCUUUUCCAAAUCAAUCCUCCCUUUUAUUUUAAACUUAUGUCCUUCCUUCUUCUUUAAAACUUUCAAGUUGUGUGAAUGCUAUAUUUGUGAACCUUAUUUGUUUAAUUGCUUCAUUUCUUUAUAAAGUCACAAUUAACACGGCUGGGAACCACACUAGUGGAUCUUGAGGGGUGCCUAACACCUUCCCCUCGAGAUAAUCUCAAGCCCUUACCCGAACUCUGGUUUACUAGUGGAUCUUGAGGGGUGCCUAACACCUUCCCAUCGAGAUAAUCUCAAGCCCAUACCCGAACUCUGGUUUUCUUUCAAAAUACUUCUCCUAUCUCUAAAAGUGUUCUAUUGCACUAUAACCAUUAGGUGGUGACUCUUCAAAUUCCAUAAAACAACUCCCAAAGGGGAAUGAGAGUUGUUUUGCCCAUAAUGUCGUAAAACCCAAUUUCUGUUUUUGAAAAAGGAGGCGUCGACAACAUGGAGACUCUGCUGGGGAAUCUAUUUAAGGCUCUUACCAUUACGUGUUUUGUGACUUUAUUACUUUCUUUAUUACCUUUACUUAUUGUUUUAAUCAUUUCUUCUCAAUUAAAAACUUGUUUCUUCAUGUCUUCUUUUUUUGCUUUGCAACUGUUUACUGCUUUACUGCCUUUAUUUUAUUUUAUUCCAUUUUAAAUACCGAGCAUCUAUUGUAAUCAUUAUAUUAUGAAUGUGAAAAUACAUGUAUUUAUUUUAUUAUUGUAAUUGCACCUUUCAACAUCAUUUUACACUCGUGCCAAACAAAUACUAUGGCAACGCUUAUAAUGAGUGGUUGCGCUCUUCCAAUAUUUAUAAACCCCUUAAAUUUUGAAAAGGCAUAUUUGCGAUAAAACCGGUCUAUGAACGGUGUAGUCGGCGGUUCUGUGCCUUUCCUUCUUGAGUUGUCCGCUCAAGGGUACCUUGUCUAGCACUUCAAAAGUAGGAACCUUACUAUGUUUAACUGUUCACGCAUCAUGGUCAAACUAGCCGAGUCAGUUAUGUUGUCCGCAUAAGGCCUCAUUAGGAUAGCCUAAGCCAAAAGUCCAUUGGGUUUCCUUGAAACCCAAACAGACAUUCUCGUUAUGCGCAUUGAUUUGGAGAACUAAAUACCUUUUUCUAAUUAUUAAUUUAAAUAGUCGCAUCUGGUGGGGUUAAGGUCCUAACCUCUAUUUUGCAGGAAAUGAGGCAUGAGGUCCCCUGAUUCGGUAUGGUAUCAAGCAUUCACCCAAAGUUACUAAGCUGGUGGGAGGAUCUGCAUGGUAGUGAUCGGGUUUUUGUCCGCAAGCACAUUGGAGAUCUCCCUUCACUCCUGGAAGUUAGGCCAGAUAAUAAGAUUGUGGAAGCUGCUACUAUGUUUUGGGAUAGUGAACGGUGUGUCUUCCGCUUUGGCGGUAUUGAAAUGACGCCGCUGUUGGAAAAAAUUAGGGGUCUAGCCGGAAUUCCUUGGGAUAGCCCGGGGCUGUUUAUGCCAGAAAACCGCAAAGGUAGAGGGAAAUGAUGGGGCUAAAGAAGAAUCCUAAUCUAACCAGUACGAAGGAUACCUACAUAUCCUUCGACUUCAUGUAUGAAAUGUUUGGACAUAGCAAAUCCUACCACACUCACAUAGACGAGUUCGCCCUCACCUCUUUGGGGCACAUACAUAGGAGAGCCUUUGUAUUCAUGUCCUGUUUCCUGGGCAUGAUAGUCUUUCCAAUGAAGAAGGCUAGAAUCCACACAAGAUUAGCCAUGGUUACCAAAGCCACAAUGGAGGGUAUCGACGGGCAGACAUUCAACAUAGCACCCAUGAUCCUUGUCGAACUAUACCGAGCCUUAGAGAAAUUUCAACAAGGGGCACCACACUUUGAAGGGUGCAAUUUGCUACUACAACUCUGGCUCAUUGAACANNNNNNNNNNNNNNNNNNNNNNNNNNNNNNNNNNNNNNNNNNNNNNNNNNNNNNNNNNNNNNCAACAUUACUAUUACAUAUGGUGCAAUUUUCUACUACAACUAUGGUUCAUUGAACAUCUUCAGAAGGGAGAUUAUAGACAAGAGAUCAUACGACGAGAUUGGGAUGACCAUAUCGCUUUCCAUCAUCCAAAGAGAAUGCACUUCAUGCCAGAUAUGUUCGCUCGUCCGGAAGAUGCCAGUAGAUGGGUAGAACUAUUUGAGAAUUUGAAAGAAGAGCAGGUACAAUGGAUUUAGGAAUGGUUUCUAACAGGUACCCUUAUGUCCAUCUCCGAGUCAUGAGGCGAAGCGGGAAGAAAGCAGAUUAUACCAAGGGUAGAAACGUUGAGUCACUACAGGGCUGACUUCUAAGAUGAUGAUAGUCCACACAGGUGUCGGGCUCAGCAUAUGUGGCAUUCCAAACUCAUUUUAGAAAGGAAUCUAUGGAACCAGACAUGUAUCAGGCAGGGCUUGCGCCGCUUUAUCCAGGAUGGCUAGAAGACGAUCAUAUUGGCUUGGGAAAAACAGGUUUCAUCCAUGGUCACAGGGUUAUUGAUGAGAACAUUGAAGCAAAGGUCAAGUAUAAUGAGCUACGCAAACGGAUGCGAGAGUGUGAAAGUGAAUAUCGGGAAAUACUAGAGGCCCAAGAGAAGAUAAUCAAUGAGUGAAAAGACAUGGAUGUCUCUGCAAACAACCGUUUAGGGUACUUGGAACAGGGUCUAGUGGAGCUGGAAGGCAAGUUUCUGAUAAGGAUCAACGACUGUUAGGAAGCUGAGGGUAACGAAGGUGGGCACUUGGCUCGGGCUUACUUGUUGCUGGGACUGCGCGAGCUGAUGAAGCUGUACGAGGGAGGCAAAGAUACCGAAUCUGGGGAAGGUCCUUCUUGACCAAGUAUUUGGGAUUUUUACUGCUUUCUUGAUGUAAUAAGGGCACUGGCCAUUAGUGACAAUUUCUCUUUAUUUUCAGUCUGUUUUGACUCGUUCUAUUUUCUAUCGAUAAAAUGAGGCACUUGGUGUUAUAAGUNNNNNNNNNNNNNNNNNNNNNNNNNNNNNNNNNNNNNNNNNNNNNNNNNNNNNNNNNNNNNNNNNNNNNNNNNNNNNNNNNNNNNNNNNNNNNNNNNNNNNNNNNNNNNNNNNNNNNNNNNNNNNNNNNNNNNNNNNNNNNNNNNNNNNNNNNNNNNNNNNNNNNNNNNNNNNNNNNNNNNNGAAUCCGCACUAACUUUUUACCUUUUUGUUUUUCUUUUAUUUUUAUUCCCCUACCCAAAGGUUAGUUCGUGCAUUCUGGCACCAUCACCAUGCUCAAUAAGAUCAAAGGUCCUCCUCCUCCUCCUCCGAGUCCCCCCAGAAACAGGAACAAAGGAAAGAUGGGAGAUAAUUAAGCAAGAAAUGAAAUUUAAGGAACUUCCCAAGGUACCCCGAUCACCAAAGAGACUGCUAUUCAUUUGGAGCAAACUUUGCUAAGGUUCCAAGAGGAACUAGACCCGGUCAAGAGUUUGGCAAGUUUGUCCAUCUCCCUUGCUGUUGCAGAUGUCAACAAUCAGGUCCCUGCACCUCCGCAGAAGACCCUAACCCAAGCUCGCAACAAUGCUCCACCACUCAUCCCUGAGCCUCAAAAUGCUCCAAACCAAAAGUCCUAGUGCUGUUGCAGAUGUCAACAAUCAGGUCCCUGCACCUCCGCAGAAGACCCCAAUCCAAGCUCGAAACAAUGCUCCACCGCUCAUCCCUGAGCCCCAAAAUGAUCCAAACCUUCGUGGAUACUGUGCCGUAAUAUGCAUGGUCUAUAUCAGAUGUAUCAGAAUUAGACUAACUCAUUCAGAACUUGGCUGCUGAACUCAAGAAACUCACUUGCAGGGUUCAAGGCGUGGAAGGUGAUAAGGGUGUGGAGAAUUUGAAUAUGAAGACCUUUGUGUUCAACCUGAUGUUGAAAUCCCAGAGGGGUACAAACCUCCUAAGUUCGAAAUGUUCGAUGGUACUGGUGAUCCCAGGGUUCACCUCAGGAUGUAUUGUGACAAGUUGGUGGGAGUUGGUAGAGAUGAAAAGAUCCACAUGAACCUAUUUAUGAGGAGCCUGAAAGGUGAUGCUUUAUCCUGGUAUAUCAGCCAUGAUGCAAAGAAGUGGACAAGCUGGGUGAACAUGGCAUCCGAUUUUAUGGAUCGUUUUAGAUUCAACACUCAGAAUACGCCAGAUGUAUUCUAUAUAAAAAAUUAUAAGAAAAAGCCUAAUGAAACCUUUCACGAGUAUACUACUCAUUGGAGGUCGGAAGCUGCCAAGGUCAGACCGACUUUAGAAUAAGAACAAAUGAAUAGGUUUUUGGUCCGUGCUCAGGAUCCACAGUACUACGAGAGAUUGAUGCUGAUAGAGAGGCAAAAGUUCUUUGAUAUCAUCAAACUGGGAGAAAGAAUUAAUGAGGGCAUUAAAAAUGGUAUGGUUACUAACCUUGAGGCACUGCAGCUACCAAAAAAGCCUUACAAUCUAGUGGUACGUUGAAGAAAAAAGACAUAAAAUCCGUAAUGGCUGCAAAGAGAAACCACUCUCCCAUGAAAUACCAACCAUACUCUCCAAAUCCACUCACAUACCAACCCUCUCUAAACUACUAGGUACCUUCACCUACCUAUCAAAAUCCACAUCACGUCUACCAAACAUCUCCAUCACCGACAUAUCAGCCCACCUCGCCAGGAUAUUCACGACCGCACCCGUAUACCAAGCUUACAACUCCCAACCUCCUCACUAUCCAUCACCACCUACCUGCCAAAACUUCCCACAACAGAGACCAAACUUUGACCACAAACCGCCCAGACAAUAUACCGCUAUUGCCUAACACAUUGACCAACUGCUUGAGAAUAUCAAAGUCGCUGGAUAUGUUACACCCAUUCCAGCCAUAACCCCAGAAAACCCUUCCCAAUGGAUCAACAUUAAUCCCAAUCUCCUCACUAUCCAUCACCACCUACCCGCCAAAACUUCCCACGACCAAGACCAAACUUUGACCGAAAAUAGCCCAGACAAUACACUGCUAUUGCCGAACCCAUUGACCAACUGUCUGAGAAACUCAAAGUCGCUGGAUAUGUUACACCCAUCCCAGUCAUAACCCUAGAAAACCCUUCCCAAUAGAUCAACCCAAAUAAAACAUGCGCAUACCAUUCGGGGAUGAAGGGCCACACCAUCGAUGAGUGCCGUUCGUUGAAGGACAAAACUUAGACCUUAAUUGACAACAAGGUCACUGUAGCUAAAGAGCCUACUCGCAAUGUUCGUAACAACCCUUUACCAGACCAUAAAGGUGGAGGCAUCCACAUGAUUGAGGUUGAAGACGACUGGGACCCCGACAGGUCAAUCGGUUUGAUAUCUGAAGGAGAUGAGCCCAAAAAGCUAGCGGUCACUCUUAAUCCUAUUGUUGUACAGAUCCAUCCAUCUAAGGGCAAUAUGGUGAAUAUAUCUGUACCAUUUGAGUUCGAGGCACCUCCUGCAAAAGUUCCAAAACCAAUUGAGGUGGAGUUCGGGACUCUAAAGGCGCCCGCACCGAUUGAAGUUGCUAUGUUGCCUCCAAGGGUGCCCAUUCUGGUCACCAUGUCAGACAUAACCUCAUUUCAAUCAAAUGCCAUACCUUGGACUAAAAAAUCGAGGCAAGAAGGAAGGGAAAAGCACGCACGGGUAAAGCAAUCGCCGCGCAAGGUGUGACUAGAACAUGCAGGGUGUACAUACCAGAGCACCUAGCUGAGUCCAACAAGCAGGCCUCUGGAUGUCCCACUGAAAUUGGACCUGAUGAUCUCUAGGGAAUAUACAGGCUAAAGAAUAUUCAGCUGUUGAACAGCUAAACAAAACUCUGGCACAUAUUUCCAUCUUGGCAUUGCUGCAGAGUUCCCAGGCGCAUAAGAACACCUUGAUGAAUAUAUUGAGCGAGGCUUCUGUCCCGAGCAACAGAACAUGAGGAGAGAUUGCAAACAUGAUAGGGCAUGUAUUGGAAAGUCACAAAAUCACUUUCCACAAGGAUGAAUUGCCACCUGAAGGGACCGGCCAUAACAAAGCACUAAUCAUUACUGUGCAAGGAGAAAGAGAUAAAGAAGAAAAUUCUCAAAUUCCCACAAAUGGUUUGAAUAAGCAUUCCUUAGAGAGGGAAUGUCGGAUGAGACACUAUUUGGCCUUCUUUCAGGAGUUGUAGAUAGUAUCACCUUUAGCUGGUAGCUAGCAAAGAAGUUAUCCCCUAUCAACGUAUAUAGUUGAGGAAUGAGUGCAACAUGAAGAUCAUUUCAUCACCAGGAUUUUAGUCAACAGAGGUUCUAGCCUCAACAUUUGUCCAUUGAUCACCCUCAAGAAGUUCAAAGGAUUUCAUGAGAUAAAAGAUGGGGCUAUUAACGUUAAGGCUUUUGACGGAUCUCAGAGGUCCACCCUCGGGGAGAUUAGCCUAUAUUUGCAAAUGGGCCCCACUUUGUUUGAUGUUGAUUUCCAAGUCAUCGACGUACCAGCAUCUUACAACUUAUUGCCAGGACGACCCUGGAUCCAUGCCGCUGGGGCUGUGGCAUCAACCUUUUAUCAGGCCGUGAAGUUCGAGUGGAACCAUCAGGAAGUGAUCAUCCAUGGCAACGGUAGCAACCCCAUAUACAGUCUCCAGACCAUUCCGAUGAUCGAAGGCAGAAGAAGAAUAGGCGCAGAAACAUAUCACCAUAUUGAGCGAGUCAACGCAGUGGACAAGAACAAAUGAUGGAGUAACAAGGUCGAGAGCAUUAGUAAUUGGAGCGGGUAUGAACCAAGGAAAGGACUUGGUAAGAAUCUUCAGGGCAUCACGAAACCUAUCCAGUUGAAGAAGCAUGGUACUACAUUCGGACUAGGGUACGAGUACACUUGGAAGGAAUUCAAAAAUUGGUCACCACCACGGCGCAGUCCAUAUUACCCAUUGGAAUACCCCAUACCUCAGUUGGAGUAGAAAUUUCAGCCAGCCUACACUCUUUACGGGCCAGAAGAAGACGAGGCUCUUACGACAAUGAAGAACUUGUUUUUGGAGGAGGACAUGGACUGUUGUGUGACUUUUGAAUAGGAAAGGGAGGAAGGCCCUUCCUUUCAGGCUAUAAACCUUGGGGAUCACCUUGCCAAUUGGUCAAUCAGGACCACCAUCGCCCGGAAAUCUUCAGGGUAUCAAGGCUGAACAAGCAUCAUGCAUCUUUGUUUUAGUUGUUCCUUUACUUCCCGCAAUUUCUUUACUUUUCAAAAAAGCUCCGAUAAUUUGAAUAUUUAUGAAUUCAAUCAAAAGAAUUUUUCAGUUUAUCAAAUAUCUCGCUAUUCAUUACUUUUCUCUGCUAUUUACUUUAUUUUCCACACAACAUUACUAUUACGUAUCUUGAUGAUGAACUAACAACUGUAACUUGCAACGAGCUAUGCAACAAACAGACAUAGACUUAGAGGAAGAUGAUAUACCAGAAGAGGUUGUCACAGAGGUCGAGAAUUUUGAGAAUAGACCUAAGUCCAUCUUGGAUGAAAUCGAGGUCGUCAAUUUGAGAGAUAUAGAGAAUGUCAAAGAGACGCGCAUCAGUGUGCACUUAUCUCGGACAGAAAAAGAGGAAUAUACAGAGUUCUUAAAGGAAUAUGAGGAUAUCUUUGCAUGGUAUUAUGACAAUAUGACUCGUCUCAGUACAUCCAUCGUUGCUCACAAGUUAUCGAUAGAUCCGGCAUGUCCACCGGUAAAACAGAAGCUCAGAAAAUUCAAGCCAGAUAUGAGUUUAAAAAUAAAAAAGGAGGUCACUAAGCAGUUCAAAGCCAGAGUUCUUCAAGUGGUAGAGUACCCGACCUGGUUAGCUAACAUCGUGCCAGUAACGAAGAAGGAUGGGAAAGUUAGAGUCUGUGUCGUCUACCGGGAUAUCAAUCGGGCCAGUCCCAAAGAUGAUUUCCCCUUGCCAAACAUACACAGUUGCAGUCAUUCGUCAAUUGGGCAGGGUACCAUAAAAAAUAUGGAUGGAUAAAGAAGAUGCAGAGAAAACGGUGUUUAUCUCGCCUUGGGGAAUGUAUUGCUACAAAAUGAUGCCGUUUGGAUUGAAGAAUGCGGGAUCUACUUAUAUGUGGGUCAUGACUACCCUCUUUCAUGACAUGAUACAUAAGGAGAUUGAGGUAUAUGUGGACAAUGUCAUCAUCAAGUCCAGGAAGGCAACAGAUCACAUGGAGGACCUCCGAAAAUUUUUCAACAGACUAAGGAGUAUAACUUAAAAUUGAAUCUCGCCAAGUGUGCAUUUGGGUUCCUUGUGGGGAAGUUAUUGGGUUUCAUCGUGAGCCGUCAAGGAAUAGAGCUGGAUCCAUCAAAAGUCAAAUAUAUUCAAGAGUUUCCACCGCCAAAGAGCAAGAAAGAGGUAAUGAGUUUCCUGGGGAGACUCAACUAUAUCAGCCGAUUCAUAGCUCAGUCUACAUCAUCUGCGAACCUAACCUAUCUUGAAGAUGCUGAAGAAGGAUGCCGCCACCAAAUGGACCGAUGAAUGCAAAGGCUUUUGACAGGAUCAAGGAAUACUUGUCUACACCUCUAGUCCUGGUUCCGUCUGAACCUGGUACCUUUAUUGCUCUAUCUCACAAUUUUGGAGGGAGCAUCCUGUUGAGUCUUGGGACAACAUGAUGAGACAAGGAGAAAGGAUCAAGAUAUUUACCACCUCAGCAAGAAAUUUACCCCGUACGAGGCUCGGUAUUCCUUACUAGAAUGCACCUGUUGUGCUUUGACCUGGGUAACUCAGAAAUUGAGGCAUUAUUUCUGUGCUUACACUACCUACCUUAUAUCAAGAAUGGAUUCGCUCUGUUGUGCUUUGACCUGGGUAACUCAGAAAUUGAGGCAUUGUUUCAAUGCUUACACUACCUACCUAAUACCAAGGAUGGAUCUACUAAAAUAUAUUUUUCAGAAGCCCAUGCUCACUGGCGAGCUCGCCAAGUGGCAAAUUUUGUUGAGUGAAUUCGACAUUGUCUAUGUCACUUAAAAGGCAGUCAAACGACAGGCUUUGGAAGAUCAUCUUGCAGAAAAUCCUGUAGGAGGGGAGUAUGAACCAUUGAAGACGUAUUUUCCCGAUGAGGAAGUAGAUUUCAUAGGGAAGACAUUGCAGAAUCCUAUGACGGUUGGAGGAUGUUUUUCAACGGAGCCGCAAAUUUCAAAGCGGUGGGUAUCGAAGCAAUCCUGGUAUCAGAAACCGGUUCUUAGGAGAGGAUAUUGCAGAAUUCUAUGAUGGUUGGAGAAUGUUUUUCGACGAAGCCGCAAAUUUCGAAGGAGUUGGUGUCGGAGCGGUCUUGGUAUCAGAAACCGGUCAAAAUUACCCGGUAUCAGCCAAGAUCAGGUUCCCGUGCACCAAUAAUAUGGCCGAGUAUGAAGAUUGCAUCUUGGGGCUUAAAAUGGCCAUUGACAUGAACAUUCAGGAGCUGCUAGUGGUCGGAGAUUCAUACCUACUCAUACACUAGGUUCGAGAAGAAUGGGCAACCAAGAAUUCCAAGAUACUCUGUUAUCUGCACCAUAUACAGGAGUUGAGAAAGUGGUUCAGAAAAAUGGAAUUCCAGCAUGUUCCAAGAAUACAGACUGAGUUCGCAGAUGCGCUUGCCACUUUAUCAUCUAUGAUUCAGCAUCCAGAUACAAACUUCAUCAACCCUAUCUAUGUCAAAAUUCAUGAUCAACCGACAUAUUGUGCACAUGUUGAGGAAGAAGCCGACGGAAAACCCUGAUUCCACAACAUCAAAGAAUACCUGACAACAUGAGAAUAUCCAGAGCUUGCUAAUGUUACCAGAAGCGCACGCUUCAGAGAUUAUCCAACAAUUUCUUUCGUAGUAGAGCAAUCCUGUAUAGGAGGACCCCCGAUUUGGGACUAUUGAGGUGUGUCGAUGCGACAGAAGGAAAAAAGUUAUUGGAGGAAGUACACUCAGGGACUUGUGGGCCGCACAUGAAUGGUUUUGUUCUAGCAAAGAAGAUACUCCAAGCAGGAUAUUUUGUGAUGAUUAUGGAGACAUACUGAAUUCAGUAUGUCCGAAAGUGUCAGCGGUAUCAGAUACAUGCAGAUAUGAUGAAGGUACCUCCGAAAGAGCUCAAUGCAACAAGCUCAUCGUGUUCAUUCGCUGCUUGGGUAAUGGAUGUUAUUGGACCAAUAGAGCCUGCCGUAUCAAACGAACACAUGUUCAUCUUAGUGGAAAUGGAUUACUUUACUAAAUGGGUUUAAGCAUCAUCAUAAAAAACAAUAACCAAGAAAGUCGUGGCAGACUUUGUUCGAGAUCGUAUUGUCUGUCGAUUCGGGAUUCUAGAGUCGAUCAUCACUGUUAAUGGUUCCAACCUCAAUAGCGACUUGAUGAAAGCAAAGUGUGAAACUUUCAAGAUCAGGCACAGAAAUUCUACAGCUUAUAGACCUCAGAUGAAUGGAGCUGUGGAAAUAGCCAAUAAGAACAUCAAGAAAAUACUAAGGAAAGUGAUCGAAAGGCAUAAGAUGUGGCAUGAGACGUUGUCAUUCGCUUUAUUGGGUUAUCGUCCUAAAACUCGCAUAUCAACCGUUACAACUCCUAUAUGCUGGUUUACGCUACAGAGGCGGUAAUUCCCGCCGAGGUAGAAAUUCCGUCCUUGAGAAUCAUACAAGCUGAGCUAGAUGACAUAGAAUGGGUCAAGGGUCGCUACGAGCAGUUACCCUUUAUAGACAGAAAGAGAAUGCAUACUGUCUGUCACGGUCAAUUAUAUCAGAACAAAAUUUCCAGAGCCUUCAACAAGAGAGUUAGACCAAGGAAGUUUACACCAGGGCAGCUGGUGUUGAAAAAAAUAUUUUCACAUCAAGAUGAAGCCAAAAGGAAGUUCUCUCCCAACUGGCAGGGUCCGUACAUGGUUCACCGGGUUCUAACUGGAGGAGCCCNNNNNNNNNNNNNNNNNNNNNNNNNNNNNNNNNNNNNNNNNNNNNNNNNNNNNNNNNNNNNNNNNNNNNNNNNNNNNNNNNNNNNNNNNNNNNNNNNNNNNNNNNNNNNNNNNNNNNNNNNNNNNNNNNNNNNNNNNNNNNNNNNNNNNNNNNNNNNNNNNNNAUUGGCCAAAACCGAUCAACUCAGAUGCAGUGAAGAGAUACUACAUUUAAUCAGUAUGCUUUCCCCUUACAAUGUAAUUUGAACUAUGCCUGACCUGAUUUUCGUUUAAGAGGGGAUACGUAGGCAGCCCUAUGGGUUCGGUCACAUAUUUAAUAAAAGUCCAUCCCCCCACCCCACAUAUGGAACUGGGGCAGAAUUUUGAGGAGGACCCCUAAAAUUCCGAAGUCAGUUUGUGAGUUUCUUCAUCAGCAUCAACCCAGUAAAAUGGGGUAGAAUUUUGAGUCUCAAAAUUUCCAGGUCGAUCCAUUUUCAAGUCAUUCAGCACCACCGUCAGCAGCGCCAGCCUAGAGAACUGGGGCAUAAUUUUGGGGCGGACCCUCAAAAUUCUAGAGCCAACAAGGUUGCGGUGUCUUGAACCACGUUGUAGUUGUCGGUUCAUCAUAAAACAAAAUUAUUGUUUUCUUUACUUAUAUAUACAUUUUCAUCGUGUUUGCCAAAUUUUUGCAUGAAAUCAUUCAGAUCGAUAUCGUUCAGCAACGCUACCCCAAAUGGCACAGGACACCACGAGUUGAGGGAUGCGAACUAACCAUUCCCCUUUGCAGAGCUUAGGAUCUUUCUUUGGAUGCAGGAAUCCAGAAUACAAAUAGGCGGCGCAUGUGUUUUACAAAUCUGAAGUUCCCGAAACCACUACUUACCUUGCAAAGGUUUACUAUCAACAUUCAACACUUCCCCGGCAGUCAUGAUAUCGCAAUCAUCUACCCGCUAAGAAAAUCACCAUCAUCCUCUCCUUUAUAUUACUGCAUUUUGCAUAAGGCUAUUCUCUGCAUUUAGAGGUUAAGUGUUACCUCCAUCCUGCAUAAGGCUAUUCUCUGCCUUCCGAGGUUAAGCUCUACAUCCAUCCUGCAUAGGGCUAUCUUCUGCCUUUCGAGAAUAAGCUCUGUCUCCAUCUUGCAUUUUGCAUAAGGCUAUUCUCUGCCUUCCUAGGCUAAGCUAUACCUCCAUCUUGCAUAAGGCUAUCUUCUGCCUUUAGAUACUAAGCUCUGUCUCCAUCUUGCAUUUUGCAUAAGGCUAUUCUCUGCCUUCCGAGGUUAUGCUCUUCCUCCAUCCUGCAUAGGGAUAUUCUUUGCCUUCCGAGGUUAAGCUCUACCUCCAUCCUGCAUAAGGCUAUCUUCUGCCUUUUGAGACUANNNNNNNNNNNNNNNNNNNNNNNNNNNNNNNNNNNNNNNNNNNNNNNNNNNNNNNNNNNNNNNNNNNNNNNNNNNNNNNNNGCAUAAGGCUAUCUUCUGCCUUUUGAGACUAAGCUCUGUCUCCAUCUUGCAUUUUGCAUAAGGCUAUUCUCUACCUUCCAAGGUUAAGCUCUACCUCCGUCCUGCAUAGGUCUAUUCUCUGCCUUUCGAGACUAAACUCUGUCUCCAUCCUGCAUUGCAUAAGGCUAUUCUCUGCCUUUCGAGGUUAAGCUCUACCUUCUUUAUUUUGAAUUUGGCUGAAAAAUCAUCACCCACUUUCAUUUGGCUGAAAUAUCGCCGCCUUGCAUUUUAAAUUCUCGCUUUGGUUGAAAUAUCGCCACCCUUACAUUCAUUCGGUUGAAAUAUUUCCACCUUCUCAUGGGCUAAAAUAUCGCCAACUUAUUCAAAGGCAUCAUAGUUCGAAGGCACCAUCCGCAUAUCCCGAGAACACCAUUUCAUGGCCUGCAAAUCUUUACUUUAUGCUCUUCAUAGCCGAGGACGUCAUAGUCUGAGGACACCAUCCUAAUCGUCCGAAGACACCAUUCAUGGUCCAAUGGGAACUUGCAUCACGUUUAAAUUAUGCAAAAUAUAUGCACAUCGUUCAUUUGCAGGUACAUAACCAGUAAUCGUCCGAAGACACCAUUCAUGGUCCAAUGGGAACUUGCAUCACGUUUAAAUUAUGCAAAAUAUACGCACAUCGUUCAUUUUCAGGUACACCGGCUGGCACACUCACCUCAGCAGGAGCAGUCCCGCUCCAGUUUUCCGCAGCCCAUCCGAUCUCCGAACCCUUGACAAGUCUCAAACCCCGUUGCGUUCGCCUUUUCCAAAUUUUCAUUGGCAUAUCCCGCCAAUGGUCCCUGAACUACAUACGGCCCAAUUCCUGUAAAACCAAGGAUAUGUAGGCAGCUCAGAAGCCAGAGCACGGUCGAACUUCUCUUAUAGUCGUCAUUUCCGGUCAAAAUUGGCCAUCUAUUCUUUACCCGACAACUCUUUCAUCCUCCUCGGGUAAAGAGGGGCAGUUGUUGAUACCCAAUUUUCUUUACCCGACAACUCUUUCAUCCUCUUCGGGUAAAGAGGGGCAGCUGUUGAUACCCAAUUUUUCCCCAUGUAUUUAUAUACUCAAAAUACUCCCAAAAUAGCAUGUAGAUGCAUAUAUAAGCAUCCACAAAGGUCUUGGUAUUUUUCUACUUUUUUAGGUUUUUAAAAUCAAUUUACGAUUUUUUUGGCAAUAUAAAAUCCAAUAUUUAGUCCCAAAUCGUGUUAUUUUGAAAGUAAUCUAUUUUAUUCUCUCAUAUACAUAUAAAUAUAAUUUAUAUAAUUUUUUAUAAAGCCAUUAGGUAUUUCUAAAUUAAAAUUAUAUUUUAUUGCAAUUUUAGCCCAUUUGUCGAUUUAAUAAGUAUUUUUAUUGCAAAAUCAUUCCUAAUAUUUUUUAACUAAUACGUAGAUAUAUUUUAUUAACUCAUAUUUUUAUUGGAUUUUUAUAAGGUUUUUUUUGUAUUUUUAUGAAAUUUAAAUGGGAGAAAUGGUUAUUUAAAUGGUAGCCCUUUUUGUUUCAAUUCUAACCCAAAUUAACCCCCCAAAUUGACCCCCCAAUUACCUGACCCAAUCUCAAAAUUACUCGACCCAAACACACAUAAAACUAACCCGCCCCAGUUCCCUUUAAUCCUGGUCGUUGAUCACUCAGAUCAACGUCCCACAUUUUACUUAACAAAAUUAAAUCCCAAAUAACCCCUAAACCCUAAUCAGUUUAUCAAACCAGCCGCCUUUGAACCCUAAAUGCUCUCUAGCCCCUCCCGAACCCUAAUCGUCUCUAACUCUAUUUCACCGGCGUUCAUCGCCGUUCAAGCCCUAAGACGUCUUUAUCCAUUCACUCCUCAUCUCUCCUGGUUCCUGGGUUCGAAGAUCAGAACCCUACUUCGAAGUUGACUGGACCAGAGGUCCUCCGAUGUGAUUCCUACAGCCAUGUCCGGCCUUUCUACGGCAAGCCUUACGGCCCUGGGUCCUUUUCCGACUCCAACGAGUCCAUUCCAGGCUUUUCUCGAUACUUCGAGACCUUUCUCUGAAAACCCUAAUUUCUCGAGGUUCUUCUCUUUGUUCACUUUUACGAUCCUCUCUGAGUCCUAGGUAUCUUCUAAAGAUUUUAAAGUAUUUCUCGCCUCUUCUUCGCCUAUUUUUGUUUUCAAAUUGUUCGUCUUUUUAAACUUAGGAUUUUCCAUGACUUCUCUGAUUUCUUUGAUUUCGUUAUUUUAUUUGCUACUGUGUGUUCUUCUCUAUGAUUUUUGAGAAUUUUCUACUAUGGCUCUGAGGCGUUUUGCUUCACUGAUUAUUUUCUAAGGUUUUAAGUUAAUGUGUUAUAUGCUUUACUUUAUGCUGUUCUGAUUUUGUUCACCUACAUCUAUGAUAUUCCUUAUGCUCUAAUAUGCAUUGGAAACCCUAGCUUUAAGGGGGAUUUUCCAUUGUCUCUCUGUGAAUCCCUAGCCGCCUCAAAUUGCUUUCGUGUGUGUUUUGCUACAUGUUUAUUCUACUACCUCCAGUUUAUGCAUGCUCGAAUAGCUACCUCAAAUUGGUUUCGUGAGUGUUUUGCUAUAUGUUUAUUCUACUACCUCCAGUUUAUGCAUGCUCGAAUCUAUGCAUCUUUUAUAUUACAAUUUCCCUUUAUCUGAGCAAUCCUAAAUUGGAAAUUGAUUUUGUACAGUUGUUUGAUUCUCUAAUUGAAGUCUGUUUUCUGACUAAGUUCGAAUAAGCUAGUAUCUCGAUUCCUUGAUUUUCUGGGUAAUUAGUCUGCUUUAUAUGUUUACCCGUGUGACUUUCAAAACUUCUUACACGUAUUUUCUCAAUAUUCUGUGAUUAGUACAUGAUUUUCUAGGUAAUUAGACCGCCUUAUAUGUUUACCCGUGUGAUUUUCAAAACUUCUUGCACAUUUUCUCUAUAUUCUGUGAUUAGUACUCGAUUUUAUUUCCAAAAUUAGGCUAAAGUUUAUUUACCUCCAGCCGGUUCCUUAAUUAAAGGGAGCCUUCUCCUUAAUUGUUUAUGAUUGUUACUGUUGAAUAUUUUCUUGCCUUAAGUGUUGCACCUCUUUCAAACUAUAAAAGCCUUCACCUUUUCUCACUUAACAGACACGGAUAUACGACUACUCUCUAAAUCUCUCACAGAAAACUCUCUUCUCUUUUAUAUUCUUCUUUGUUACUUGCUUGAUACACGACUACUCUCUAAAUCUCUCACUGAAAACUCCCUUCUCUUCUAUAUUCUUCUCUAUUACUUGCUCUCUUUUCUACGAAUUAGCCGGCUGAAAGCCAAGGUUAACUAUAAGGAUUUAUACUUGCUUUAUUAUUCAAGUUGUAUCUGGUAGGCUCCUAAUUUUACAUCAUCAACCUCCAACUAGUUGUUUACUUAACCAUGUUCCCUGUCUGUUUGUGCUUUCAGUUUAAGUUCAGCAUGUUUAACCCCGUUCCCUUCCCCUAGUCUAUUUGUAUAUUUCAAUUUAAGCUUUAGCAUGUUUAAUCCCCUUCCCGUUUCCCUUGUCUGUUAUGUUUAAGUUCAACAGGUUUAAUCCCCUUCCCCCAUUUCCCUUGUCUGUUUGUGUAUUUCAGUUGCUGCAUGUUUAAUUCUCCCUUUUCCCUUGUCUGUUUAUAUUUCCGUUUUUCAGCAUGCUCAGCCCCUUCUCUUGUCUGUUUAUUGUUCAUUAUUGUGGUUUAAGUUCUUAUACAGCCCUUUCCCCUGAAUCCUUUUAAUUUAGUCUUGUUCUCUCAAGUAUACUUAUGUGAUUCCCCUUUUCCUGAUCCCUGUUUGAAUAUGAGUGUGUUCUAGAUUAGGAUAGCAUCCCAUUGCCACUCCUAGUUUAGAACUAAGGUUGUUAACAGCCUAUACUCAAAGUAAUCCCAUUCCCUACCCCCAUAUUAUGUGUUUGAGCCUUGACAAAGGCCUUUUGGUGUCCUAAUCACCAUACAUACCCUAGUCUGACUUGUUUACAAGUCUUCUCUUGCUUGUUAACCUUUGUAAGUGGUUAGGGGUGUGCUAGCCUCACUCCAUAGGCUAGGUAUGACCACCUCCUACAUUGGUCUUCCUCUAAUUCCUCACUUUUACACUUAUUUUUAGUUCUUUAAGUUCUACCCUCCUCAGGUAAGCCAUGCUUAUGGAUCUUGGAGUCUCCUCUGAACUUGUAUGCCUUAGGGCUGCACUUAUUCUUAGUUCUUUAAGUUCUACCACCCUCUGGUAAGACAUGCUUAGGGACCUCGGAGUCUCCUCUAAACUUGAAUGCCUUAGGGCUGGUAAUUCCACACUUGCACUAUUCUAAUUGAUUAGAGUGUAGGAAUUGCCUGGUUUUCUUUGAAAGCCUUUGGAACUUUGAUACACUCUAAAGAGAAAGCCUCGGACUUGGGAGCCCGAAUUUGGUAAAAGGCAUAUGUUGGACAUUAAUGUUGCUUUGACACUCCUCGUGCCUGUUCUAGUUAUUGAUAUAUUCAACUUUUUUAUUCCUUUAAUGUUUUUUCUGUUCAGUUUUGUAAUAAUUUGUAAUAAAGGAACUCGGGAAUAAAGUAAAAGGGAUAUGGGGAGGGUUUGCAUUUUUGCAUCAAUUAGAUACCAUAUAUAUAAGGGUUUACUUUCUUGCAUCUCAUAUAGAUACCAUGUCUAUAGGCUUUUAUUAUUGCACAAUCUCAUGUAGAUAUCAUUAUGUAAGGCUUUUCGUUACUGCAUCAAUUUCAUAAUAGAAAUCAUGUCUAUAGGUUUGCAUUGUUCUAGCCUCAUAUAGAAACCAUGCUUAUAGGUUUGCAUUCUCAUAACCUCACCUAGAAAAUAUGCCUAUAGGAACUAUAUAAACGCUAGGCACAACAGUAGGUCGUCCAAAUUUGUAAAAAAAUAGUAACAAAAAGGAUCAGUGUACAUGUUAUAAAGGUCCAGCUCACCCAGUGCUUAAGAACGUUUCAAUCCAACUUGUCUUGAAUCUGAUUACUUUCAAAUUGGGCCCAUGUCUGCCCCUUUCAUAAUACUCUGAACCUGUAAACGUCUUUUAAAUGCUGAAUCUGUGGUUUCAAAUGUUUUGCCUUCCUAAGUUUAAUGUUUCAAGGUCAUUAAAACUUUUCUCUGGUUCAAACAGUGCGAUUGACUUGUAAGCCUUUUCUAAACUUGUCUGCAACUUUAAAUCUCUUUUAACAGACUCUUGUCUGAAACUAACGUUUUCCUCCUGGUUUUCUAAAUCCUGUCAAUUCCUAAUAAUGGGCCCGGAGGGCGCAAAGCAAAUUUUAAAUCGAACUUUCAUGGGUUAAACUAAUCCGUUUGCUCUUCUGACCUCUUUUAAAGACCAAAUCAGUAUUUGAAGUCAUGCUAAACUAGUUGUUGUUAUGUUACGGGGUUUAUUUGCGCCUUUAAUUGUCCUAUUUGCAUACCACUUACAUGCUACGUGUUUUGAAUGUCGUUCUAGUAUUUUUACAUUUGAAACUCCAUGUAUAUCAUAUCUCUCUCGCCCCUUUCUUAGGAUUAAUCUAGUAUUUUUUCCUUUGAAACUCCACAUAUAUCCUAUCUCUCUCGCCCCUUCUUAGAAUUAGAAGUACUAAUACCCCAGGACAAACAGGUUGGGAUGGGUAUUAGCAUGCAAUAAGUAAACGAUACCAACGCGUUUAAAUACCUUAACGGGGUGGGAAGGGUAGAAUAUGGAGAAGAUGACCGGAACGCUAAUACCAUAUGCGACCCCUCUUUGAGGAGUGUGUGCGGAGUAUUGUGCCAAUGUUAUCCAUAUUAUAGUUAAACCUAGGCCCUUCUCUCUUUUGUUUGCUUUAUUUAAAUGUUCUCCUAUAGUAAUGCUUUUCCAAAUCAAUCCUCCAUUUUAUUUUAAACUUAUGCCCUUCCUUAUUCUUUAAAGCUUCCAAGUUGUGUGAAUGCUAUAUAUGUGAACCUUAUUUGUUUAAUUGCUUCAUCUCUUUAUAAAGUCACAAUUAACAUGGUAGGGAAACGCACUAGUGGAUCUUGAGGGGUGCCCAACACCUUCCACUCGAGAUAAUCUCAAGCCCUUACCCGAACUCUGGUUUUCUUUCAAAAUACUCCUCCCAUCUCUAAAAGUGUCCUAAUGCACUAUAAUCAUUAGGUGACGACUCUUCAAAUUCCAUAACCCAACUCCCAAACGAGAAUUAGAGUUAUUUUGCCCUUAAUGUCGUAAAACCCAAUUUCGCUUUCUGAAAAAGGGGCGUCAACACUGAGGCUAUUGCUUCUGCUAAUUGUGCAGGUAUAUUACCGCCCUCUUCAAACCCUUCACUUUAUGCACUCUCUUAUUUUUCUUUCAUUCAUCCAAAGAGCUGGAUCAUUGAUUCAGGUGCUUCUGAACAUAUGACAUCUAAUUUCUCAGCUCUAAUCAAUGUUGCUACCCUACCUUUUCCCUUGUAUGUUAAACUACCAAAUUCUCAUAAAGUAAAGGUUAGUCAAAUGAAGUGUACACAUUCUACCAGAUUUAACUAUUAAAAUUGUUCUUUAUGUGCCUGAUUUCAAUUUCAAUCUAAUCUCUAUUCAUAAACUCACAAAACACCUAAAUUGUCUCCUGUUAUUCACUUCUUUUGGUGCUAUUUUGCAGGCCCCUCAAUGAUGAGGCCAGUGGUAAUUGGUGAAAUUCUUGAAGGUCUUUAUCUACUCAAUCCAAAGUCUGUCUCUACUUGUUUCAAGAUUAAUUACCGGCAUGUUUAUCCUUCUGUGUCAGCUUGUAAUAGUUAUAAUUAAAAGAAUGUUUCAGUUUCAUGUUCAGUUCAAUUACCUAGCAAUGUAAGCUUAUGGCACAAACGUUUGAGGAAUAUGCCACUUUCUAGUAUGCAAUAUUUAUCUAAAUUUUAGUCUCAUUCCUUAUCGAAAUUUUAUCUACCAUGUGAUGUGUGUUCUAAAGCAAGGCAGACCAAAUUGCCAUUUCAUUCUAGUACUAUUUCCACUACUUCUAUUUUUGAUCUUUUCACAUUGAUACACGGGGACCUUAUAAGGUUCCUACUCAUGAUGGUUACAAAUAUUCUCUUACCAUAGUUGAUGAUUUUAUUAGAGGGACCUGGACUUACCUACUUAAAAUAAAAAGUAAUGCCUUUACAGUUUUGAAAUCUUUUCUUUCCAAGAUUGAGAGACAAUUCAACAGAAAAGUAAAAAUUGUGAGAUCAGACAAUGCCAUGGAGUUAAGUAGCAGUAACUCUACAUCAGAAUAUUUUUCUUCCAAAGGGAUUUUACAUCAAACCAUUUGCAUUGCCACACCCCAACAAAAUGGUGUUGUAAAGCGCAAAUACAAACACUUAUUGGAAACAAGUAGAGCUUUAAUUUUUCAGUCACAUGUUCCAGUAACCUAUUGGGGUUAGUGUUUGCUCACUGCCACUUUUCUUAUUAAUAGAUUUCCAUCCAAAAUUUUGAAUUCUAAAUCUCCUUAUGAACUUCUUUUAGGAAAGAAACCUUCUUUAGAAUUUUUAAGAUCUUUUGGUUUCCUUUGUUAUGCUUCUACUUUGUCUUCACACAGAUCCAAAUUUGAUCCAAGAGCUGUAAAGUGCAUUUUUAUGGGAUACCUCUUUGGAAAGAAGGGAUACAAGCUUUUAGAUCUAUCUUCUAUGAAGUUAUUUGUUUUUUAAAGGGAUGUCAAAUUUUAUGAAAGUGUUUUUCCUUUCUAAAAAUCCUCACUUAUUCAGACAACUUUUUCAGUUCCUGAUCAAAUGUCUACUCUACCUUCUUUUUCGUCCAAUUCUACAUCAGAUAAUUUAAUCUACUCUACUAUUUCUUUUUCACACAGUCAGUCACCUGUUUUACAUUCAUCUAGUAGUCUUGGUUCACCUACUACUUUCCCUACAUCUACCAAUUCUUCUUCUUCCCUUCCUACACACACAGUUAUUCCAGAUUCUUCUUCAGUAAGAUACUCUACACUCUCUCCCGUUCCUUGUACAUUAUCAAAUCAUACAGUAAUCAAGAAAUGACUUAGAGAAUAUAAAACACCAGCUUAUUUGACAGAUUACGUGUGCAAUUCUGUUUAUUUGACUAACCUAACCCCUAGUUGUUUUGAAGCAUCUCUAGAACCUUUUGUUUUGUCUUUUUCAGCUCUAUCCUCCACAAAUCAACAUUUUUUAAAAUCACUCUCCCAUAUUUCAGAACCUACAACUUAUUCCCAGGUAGUUUUACAUCCUGCAUGGCAGGAAGCAAUGGCUAAAUAAUUUGAAGCCUUGGAGGCUAACAAAACCUGGGAGCUUGUAGAGUUACCAAAGGGAAUGAAUGCUUUGCAUUCCAAAUAGGUUUAUAAGGUAAAAUAUAAGUCUGAUAGAAGUGUCGAGAGAUUGAAAGCUAGACUAGUGAUAAGGGGUGACAUAAACAGAGAGGGAAUUGAAUUUUACAGAUACUUUUUCUCCUGUAGUUAAGAUGACUACAGUCAGAUGUCUCAUGGCUAUUGCAGUUAAAAAGGGAUUGCCUUUAUUUCAAUUAGAUGUAAAUAAUGCUUUCCUUCAUGGUGAUUUAUAAGAGGAAGUUUAUACGAAACUUCCAGCCGGUAUGUUUAGUAUUGGUUCUAACCUUGGUGCAGGUUAAGAAAAUCUCUAUAUGGAUUGAAACAGGCGUCACGACAAUGGUACCCCAAACUUGCAACAACUCUCAAUUUUAAAGGAUACACUAAUUACCUUAACGAUUAUUCUUUAUUUUUCAAAAAAGGCAGAUUCGAAUGUCACCUUAGUUGCUGUAUAUAUUGAUGAUAUUCUUCUAACAGGAGAUGACCCUAAUGAAUUGAGUGUUCUAAAGCAUGUUUUGGAUACAGAAUUCAAAAUAAAAGACCUAGGUGAUGCACAUUUUUUUCUUGGAAUGAAAAUUAUCAGAGAAAAAUAAGGUAUAAUUCUUUGUCAACAGAAAUUUACCUUGGACCUAUUGACAGAGUUUGGUUGUCUUUAUUUGAGGCCUGCUUCUUCUCCGCUGGAUCCCUAUUGCAAAUUACAAGCAGAUUCUGGUUCUUUCCUUCGGGAUCCCACUAUUUAUCGGCGACUCGUUGGGAAGUUAAAUUUUUUGAAUCACACCCGAUCAGAUAUCUCUUUUGCUGUACAGCGGCUUAGUUAAUUUAUGCAAACUCCACGACAAUCUCAUCUUGAUGCUGCUAUGCACUGCCUUCGAUAUCUCCUAUCAAGUCCUGGUCUUGGGCUUCUUUUUAAUUCAGAACCAUCAUUCAAGCUUCUAGCCUGUUGUGAUUCUGAUUGGGGUUCUUGUCCCGACACAAGGCGAUCAGUCAGCGGAUAUUUUGUUAGCCUUGGGGGAUCCCCAAUUUUGUGGAAAUAUUAGAAACAAGCCCUCAUUUUCCUUUCUUCUGCUGAGGCAGAAUACCAUUCCAUGAGACGCGCGGUUUCCAAAGUCAUUUGGCUUGUUCGUCUUCUUGAGGAUCUUUCCGUUGGUCCAUCUUUUCUAGUUUCUAUUCAUUAAGACAGCCAAGCUGCGAUCCAUAUCGCCAGAAAUCCCAUCUUUCACGAAGCACAAAACAUGUCGAGCUCGACUGUUAUUUUGUUCGCUAGCAAUUUCAGGCUGGCCUCGUCUCCCUCAAUUUCGUUCCUUCUAAGUCUCAACUUGCUGAUGUUUUCACAAAAUCUCCGCCUGGAUCGGCUCAUCGCUAAAUCAUUAGCAAGUUGGGAGUGGUUUCUCCCCCUUCCAACUUGAGGGGGGGGGGAUGUGUUGGAAUCGAAAACCCCAUUCUAGACAAAGAGGAAUUGAAGAGGAGGAAACAUAACCCUACUGUAGACAAAGAUGAAUUAAAGAGGAAGAAACAGAUGAAACUACAGAGAAUAUCGGAUAUAUCGAAGAGUACAAGACCAAGUGUUUUAUGAUAAAUUCUGCCGGGUCAAAUAAAUUAAUGGGCC
rnacentral:lncRNA from 1 species